CCGCCGCUCCCUCUCCUCUCCCUCCCGCCCCGCCUCUCUCUCUCCGUCCAAACCCUCCCUAACCCACGCCCGCCUCCCUGCCCCGCCGCCAGCCGCAGCCGCCGCCGCCGCCGCUCGCCGCGUCUCCCUCCAAACGCUCGCUGCGCCCGCCUCCUCCGCCGCCUCCUCUCCACCGCCGCCGAGGUGGCACGGGAGGUGGCGCCCCCCGCGUCGUGGGCGUUGGCGCAGCCGCAGGUGGGGGCGGCGGCGUGGACGGAAUUGGGGCAGGGGCGUUCUUCGUGGCCGCAUCAGGCGUGGGCGCUGCCACAGGCGAAGCAGCAACAACAGUGAGGCUGUACACGGCGGAAGGGGAACAGGCGGGGUACACGACCAAGUGGGAGGAGCUCCGUCCGGUUUCGCAGCACCUUCUCCUGCAAAUCGAGGUUUCAAAAACAUCUCGUGGUGGUGGAUUCUACAGGGAGAAGAUAAGGGAUGAGAGGCAUGUGUGUGAGCAGGUGGAACAAUAACUGGAUGCUCGUCAGAUUACCCAGGAUAUCAGAUUUAUGAGCUUCUGUUACUUGAUGCAAUUUCAAAAAGUGUCGGUAAGGUAAAAAUGAUCUAGAAGCUUAUUGCAUUCGAAAGUAGUUAUUGCAAGAAGAAGCAUGAGACACUAGCAGGUAUAUAAUGUCUAUUCUGCUUUCUAUUUGUUUUUUAGGUUCAGAUUACAAAUUCUUGCAUGAUGUAGAAGUUUCAACCGAAUGGUGCACCCUCAAAAUUGUGUUUUGUUAUGCACGAUGCAAGCUUCAGCAGCACCACACCUAGAUUUUGAAUGGCUCAUAGCAGACUAUAUAUGGCUAACCUAUUGUAUGGCAUUCUUAUUUUUUGUCUAUAUGCAUUACUUCUAGAUUUACUUCUAUUGUUGCGCCAUCACAUGGAUCAAACACACUAAAAUAUGAUGUUGAUCUUGCACAAAAGGAAGAACGGUGGUGUCACAUAAGCAUGGCUCGACCUAGCCUUGAUCAUGGUAGCCUCUUAGGUGUUCCUACUUGCUACUAUCCAUGCUACCUGAAAACCCAGCUUAUUUCACCACCAGCUCCAAAGCAACGACAGAAUGUAGGCAUCACCGUAUAUAAUUUUAUUGCAUAUUGCUCAACUCCUCCUCUAUGAAUUUGCUUACAAGCGUGUGUGACUACACUUGCUAUGCACAUGUACUAUAGACAAGUCGGCAGGACCUCACAUCACAACACCUAAGCGAGUCUGGCAAGGCUUGCUCGCCAUGGCCUACCGCGUCGGCGAGACGGGGCGAGCACGUGAUCACCAUCAACAGGUCCUUUGUCACAACACCCUAGCAAGCGAGAUGUUUAGACAAAGAUAUAUGAUAUAGUACUAUCAACAUAUGUCAUAGACGAACAGUAUAUAUCCUUCUCUUCACAAGCACAAGACUUGAUUUUGAUAAAUUGUGUUACCAUUUCUGCGGCAUCAACAUUUGGGAGGACACACCAUCUGAAUCCUCUAUAAUAACUGAACCAUUACUAUUACAAGCAACCUCCUACAUCUUCCUUCCAAAAAUUCAGAUGAUGGUUUAGUUGUUUAUAUACAUGUGCCAUCUCUUAUGUCUGAAAUAUAUAUUCUACUAUCGGGCUGGCUGGCACCUGGCAGGCUGCACUUCCUAUCUACUUGUGACGCCCCAUCAUGUUGGUUUACAUUUGGAGCAAAAAUUCUGCUGAGCAUUUGGUGUGACUGAUUGCACUAUCCAUUUAGUGUUGUCUGGACAUAGCUAUGUAGUGGACACAAUUAUUUAGAAAAAUGUCAAACCUUAACAUUUACAGGAAGCUUUACAUAUGUUUGGAUUAUGGGUCCGCUGUAGGUUUGCAUAGAUAAAUAAAUAGCACUCUUGCUAUCAAAGUGUGUGUUUCAUGGGCCUUUCUUUGUUUGAGGGACAUAACUCAAUUUUUGUAUCAGCCAUACUUCUGCUAUAUAUAUGGAAACAAUCAGUGUCUAUUUCUUUUUUAUCUGAACUGAGACAUAAUUCUACUAUAUGUAAACAAUCAUUGGUUCUUUCUUUUUUAUCUAAACUGAGAAAUAACUCUAAUCAAUUGUUUUUUAUUUAAUGUCUAAGUAUCUUCCUUACCCAAAACUUGUGCCAAAACUGGUAUUUCUUUCAUGUGUGCCUUGUGCCAUAUAUUAUCCAACCCCCUCUACUUCUGUACAGUUUUUUGUGGCGAAGAUUACUGGCACCAUGUGAAUCUUAAGCUCCACCAUUUCCUAAUUUUUCUCUCAUGGUCGCCCUCUAGGUUUCCUGGCAAGGCGAUGGUGUAUGAACCCUGUGCGCCUGCCUAGCUGUAUUGCGGCUCGAGGAUGCGGCGGAGGUGGCACAUGAGCAGAUGAAAGAGGAAUAAUUGAAGCCCCAAUGCCUCCCACAUUCUUGCUCCCUGAUAAUGGAAGUACUAGGUUUCAAACUCCUUCCCCUUCCCUGAUAUUUACAAUUCCUUUUCGGUUAGCCAUCAUCGAUGUUGACUGUUGACUGAAAUAUUUAGUUCUGUUGCUGGACACCUAAUAUCUGCACACUGUGUGUCCGCCAGCUGAGCGGCAAGCCGGAGCUGCAAGUCGCUGAACAUGGUCGUGCUACUGGCAACUCACUUGGGCAUGUAGUGGGGAUGGCUUAUGUUCAAGCACCUAAUGGAAUGUAUGCUUUUCCUUGAUGCUCCGUUCCUAAGAAAUUGCAUGAAGCUGGUGUCUGGUGCAGUCUCACACAAAGAAAGAGAAAAGAUUCAGUGUCAACGACUCAUGAAUGGAAAUAAAAACACGAGCGGGAAUCAUUUACUGUUUUCCCUACCUUAGAGUAUAAUUAUAUGAUCGCUUCACGGUUCUUUCCCUGAAGAUGUUUGGUAUAUGCUCAUCUUGUGCAUUUUUACCCUUUAGCUAAUUGCCCCCCCCUUUUUUCCUUUUUCACUGUUCUCCUGUGUUGAAAGAGCUUCUAAUGUUCUUGCAGUCAGGGGCAAAAAAAACUCACAAAAAUAUGAGCCCAAUGACCAUGAUCCGCUUGCAGCAAAUCUGGCUAAUUCGCUCUCUAUUGGGAAUAUUCCUCUUGGCAUGUUGGUUAUCCCUUUGCACUGAACUGCAUUAUUGAAUCGAAAGGUAGCUAUAUCAUGGGAGUGUAAAAUUUCAUAUUUAUUCACAGGGUUGUGGAUUAUUGUUAUUUAUUGUGAUUUAGAAAGUUUAAUUUUAGUGACAUUUGGUUUUAAUGAGUUCGACAAUAACCCGCAUAUGCUGUUAAUCAGAAGUUAUAUUACACAGUUUCAUCUUCGCUAUUGUCGCGGCAUAGUGUGACAGAAGUUACUCCAGUUGUAUGCACCUUUUUUUUAGCUGCAAUAUUCAUUUGGAUCUCUCAGCAACAUAUCUUUUCUACUUAAUACUCUACAUGCAUAAUGUUACUGACUUGUUUCCAGUCUAUCUGAAUUUUGUAUAGCUUUUAGAGUGCCUAUUCUCAUGAGCUAAUUCUGAUAUUUUUUGUAGAGCUUCCAUAUUAUCAUUAGGAAGAAUAAGGCUGUCAAGUAUAGCUUUUAGAGUGCCUAUUCUCAUUAGGAAGCAUUAGCUUUGUCUCAGAAGUUCUCUGUAAUGAUCAGCUAUUAGCUAUCAUCGAUGUUUCCAGAGAAUUGUUUCCAAUUCUCUGUCAUCUCAAAUUCUCAAUUGUAUUUAUGAGCAGAUAAAACAUCUACUGUAACACUUGCUGGUAUGAAUUACUUGGCUAUAUUUACGUAACUUGUACGUUUAUGUUUUGUACUAUCUGAUGCAAGUCAAUUGUCCUGAGCAAACAUUGUGCCUUGCUUUUGGUACAA